GUGAGUUUGCGUGCUGUUGCGUGUACUUGGUAGUGGAUCUUUGCCAAUUCUCUCCCGGAUUAACUUAUUUGAAGAUCCUGAAAUACACAACGAAAAACCGCCAAAAGGCAAUGUUUUCAAACUGACCAACAAAUCAAUUUGACAGCCGUGACGUCGGUACCCUAAUCGCGUUCUGGUUUAGGGCACGGUUUGUUUUGUACAAUAUUUACAAAGGGUUGUGGACCACUCGCGACAAAUUAUUAUUGUAGAAGAGACUCAAUCAUUCAAUUCUGGCGGAUUAGCACAAGGGACAGAGAAUCUGCCAGCAACAUGUGGAGUUUAAUCGCGGUGGUGGCACUGUUGUACGCCUUGUUUGACGUGAACUACUUCAUACGAGUGGCGUUCACAAUUCUCCACGCUAUGCUCGUACCGGGAAAGAUAAAGGUGACCGAUAAGCAUACAAUCUAUGGAUUCUGCACAACGCAGGACAUCGAUUUCCUGUUGAAUCACAUGAACAACGCUCGGUAUCUGCGCGAGCUCGACUUUUGCCGCUUUUACUGGUACGCCCGGACCCGUUUCUGGCCGUUGGGGAAUGCAAAAAACCUCCUCCAGGGUGAAUGCAUGGUGCGGUAUCGGCGCAUGCUGCCCAUCUUCAGGCCCUACAAAGUCGAAACGAAGCUCUGCUGGUGGGAUGAAAAGUCGAUCUACUUUGAGCAUAAGUUUAUCACACUUCACGAUGGAUUCGUCCGCACCGUUGCCUACUCACGACAGCGGGCUAUCGGCACAUCGCUGCUUACAUACGUGCAACGGUUUCCGGAGUGCCGGGAGCGUCCGGAACAGCCGGCAGUUCUGAAGGCGUGGAUCGAAGCCACCGAAGCGAGCAGCCAAAUGCUGCGCAACUGAAACGUGUCGGAAGAUCGCGUUCGAUGCUGAACAACCCGUUAGCUUUUGGUGCGGAUCGCUAACGUAUCAGUAUGCGUGUACCUGUGGACAGGUAUUUUACACGAAUGCACCGCAACUCACACACUGCCAGGUGCGAUCAUGUUUUCGUGGCACCGUCAGGGGCCCGCGACCCAAACAACCUCUAUCAGUCUUGCCGCGAUCGUACCUGUGCUUGUUAAUGGUGUAGGAUAAGUCUCGACCAGUGCCGUGGCAGACGAUUUAACGAUUCCAUUUGAGUUUUUGCUGCCAGCCACAAGUUCCAAAAUCCAUCAAGGACGAAUUCGUCGAUGUUACGCCGAAUUUCUGUUCGAUACUCGACCAGGUCGCUGACGUCCGUUAAUCGAUUGUCCAGGG